UCUCGGUGAUGAUGAAAAAUGAUGACGAGUCCGAUCUCUAAUCCAUUCACCCUUGACGACAAUUGAGGCAUUUGUCUGAGAGAA